rnacentral:rRNA from 1 species
UGGUGGGGUGACUUGUCUGCUUAAUUGCGAUAACGAACGAGACCUUAACCUGCUAAAUAGCCCGCAUUGCUCCGGCAGUGCGCUAGCUUCUUAGAGGGACUUUCGGCUCAAGCCGAAGGAAGUUUGAGGCAAUAACA